AAUGAUGGAAUGACUCUCGGCAACGGAUAUCUAGGCUCUCGCAUCGAUGAAGAACGUAGCGAAAUGCGAUACGUGGUGUGAAUUGCAGAAUCCCGUGAACCAUCGAGUUUUUGAACGCAAGUUGCGCCCGAGGCCAUCUGGCCGAGGGCACGCCUGCCUGGGCGUCAGUU
rnacentral:rRNA from 1 species